rnacentral:lncRNA from 1 species
CAUGUUAAUAAAAAGAGUCAGACAGCAUAGAAGAGCAUAUUGCCACCAUAAGCAAUUUCCCCUUGUGGUGAUAGCAAGAGGAAUCUGGUAAAAAUGUUCAAUGAUGGCUAUGAUCUGCAUAUGAUUCAUGAUUGGAAGUUAGUGUACACAAAUGGUUGAUCAGACAAAACACCAGAUGUUCAAUCACGCUAACAGUUAGUAGUUCGCAUUACUUUCUCUUCCGAAGCGCGCACAUUCGAGUUCAGUAUGGAUGCACUGAGCGCUUAAGACAGCGGCAAGCAUGAGCCAAACCAGAACACAACUCUGCCAAAUCCUGAAUAUUAACACAAUCUAAACUAAUGACCAUGACAACACAUACGAAAGAAAAGAAUGCAGCAGCUAGAUAGAAAAGGAAGUGAGCAAACCUCCACUGGCAGAACAAACAAGCAGCAACCUGCAGAGAUCAUACAGCCUGCGAGAUAAAAGGGAAGGAAAUCGUCAGGGCAGAAGCAUUAAUCCAAAAGAACUUCAUCUCCACUGACCAUGCAGAUGUAAACUGAAACAGCAAGGCUGUUCCAACAUUCUAGAGAAUUCAGAAAAAGCCCUAAAAUUAUGGCAUUAAACAAACAACGGCCUAUAAAUUCUCACCACCCUUCCAACUCGCCGGUCAGAAUUUAUAGGUCGUACGACCUAGUAUUAACAAAGAUCAUGCAGUAGCUAGCGAGAAAGGGAGGGAACAAACCUCGAUCGACAUAACAAAGAAGCAGCAGCCUCGAAGAUCAUACAACCUGUGAAACAAAAAAGGAACCUGGUCAGAAGGAAAAACAAGCAUAGCCUAUUCGUACAUGACUGUAUAUAAAGAUUCCCAGCCAAAAAUUGCAGCCUAUACUAAUACACGACUCGAUAUCAAGAUCAUCAGGAUACAUAGUUUCCUUACAGAAUCAUGUACGCUUGUGCAUUUAAUUAAACAUCUAAAUAAAGAUAAAGGAUAUACCAUCUUUCCAUCUGAUAAUCUCCGGUAGUCAACCACUCGUAAUAUCUUGAAAAGGAGAUUGUGCCUAUAAUUGGGAGGAUCUUGUGAAAUGUUUAAUCUAGAUAUCCUUGCCUUCCCUGUAGAUUACCGCUGGUGCAGUACUGAUUGUUCAAAAAUU